CCCAGCGCUGCACGGGCUGCCGGGCCCCGGGCAGGACGUGGUGGGGGGCUGGGGCCAGCUAUCUGCACCCCGUCCCCCAGGACAUCCCCGGAUAUCUCCCCAGCUGCCGGGAACGCACCCCAGACCCAGAGCCACGGUCCGCGGGGGGCCCUGUGUCUUCCUGGCUCCUCCGGGUCCCGCGGGGGACUGGACGCGGCCCGAGUGCCCACCUCCCGGGCUGGAGCCUCACCUGCGGCCCCCGCUUGUCCUCUUCCAGGAACUCUGCCAGGAGACCCGGCGCGUGGACAAAUGGAUAAAAAUGCUCAAGCGAUGGGACCACUACCUCCCCAGCGAGAAGCUGGGGUGGGUCUACAAGGGGGUCCCGCCCCAGGUGCGGGGAGAGGUGUGCCUGCGAUUGCUGACCAGAUUAAGGCCAGGAAUGCCAGGAAAUACCAGGAAAUGAAGGAGGCGGCCCUGGUCUCCUCCCCGACAUCAUGCAGAUCGACCUGGACGUCAAACAGACGUUCCGCAGUCACACCAUGUUCUGGGACCGCUACAGGGUCGGGUGAGGCUGCUGGGCCAGCGGAGGCCCAGGAGAGGCCCAGGAGAGGCCCAGGGGCUUCUGUGCAGGGGACACGGGGUCUCUGAGGCCGGGGGGGAACAACAGCAGCAAACAACACACCGCCACAUGGUAGGGUGCUGGGGAUGACCCCCAUGCCCACACCCCCGGGGUCUCGGGGAUGGGGAGGCCCCAGGACGGGGCCUCCAGGGGUCACAGUCUGAGCUGAACCCCAAGGGGGUGAGGGACGGCUCCGUGAAGAGCAGGGGGCCAGGGUGGGGGCAUGGGGGGCAGUAAGGGGACCUGGGGGCCCGGGUGCAUGACCACGGCUGGACUGGGCCACAUGGACCCGACGAGGGUCGGACAGGUCAGGGUGACACCCACCCUCGGUGCUUUAUGUACUUCUGAAUUCAGGGCAUUUUAUUUUAGACAAUUUGCAGUUGGUGAGCACACAUAGUAUGACGACCCCCAUUUGCCGCCCCCGGUCCAGGCAGGCCCUGCGCUGAGCACACGGGGCCCCAGGGGCAGGGGUCACAGCAAACCCCAGACUGGGGUCACCUUUAUCUGUCAACGACUCCAUGUGCACCUUAGCGAAGGGGGUGCCCUGUGUCCGCAGCCCCCC
rnacentral:lncRNA from 1 species